rnacentral:rRNA from 1 species
UGGGGAAUAUUGCACAAUGGGCGCAAGCCUGAUGCAGCCAUGCCGCGUGUGUGAAGAAGGCCUUCGGGUUGUAAAGCACUUUCAGCGAGGAGGAAGGGUAGUGUGUUAAUAGCACAUUGCAUUGACGUUACUCGCAGAAGAAGCACCGGCUAACUCCGUGCCAGCAGCCGCGGUAAUACGGAGGGUGCAAGCGUUAAUCGGAAUUACUGGGCGUAAAGCGCACGCAGGCGGUUUGUUAAGUCAGAUGUGAAAUCCCCGCGCUUAACGUGGGAACUGCAUUUGAAACUGGCAAGCUAGAGUCUUGUAGAGGGGGGUAGAAUUCCAGGUGUAGCGGUGAAAUGCGUAGAGAUCUGGAGGAAUACCGGUGGCGAA